GAGGCACCGAUCACUGCUCCGUCGUCACCCGCGAGGCCCACCGCGGCCACAGGCUCUGGAGGCCAGUGCCU
rnacentral:lncRNA from 1 species